UACGUAGGGACCGAGCGUUGUCCGGAUUCAUUGGGCGUAAAGAGCUCGUAGGCGGCCACUCAAGUCGAAUGUGAAACCUCGAGGCUCAACCUCGAGCCUGCAUUCGAUACUGGGCGGCUAGAGUCUGGUAGGGGGAUCUGGAAUUCCUGGUGUAGCGGUGGAAUGCGCAGAUAUCAGGAGGAACACCGGUGGCGAAGGCGGGAUCGUGGGCAAGUACUGACGCUGAGGAGCGAAAGCGUGGGGAG
rnacentral:rRNA from 1 species